rnacentral:lncRNA from 1 species
UAUAUCCGCAGCUUCGCCCCUCAUCUGCGACGGAAUGUAUCGAAUUAAAAUUAAUUUUUUAUAGUAGUGUCCCUUAUGUAGAUCGCAUGUAGACCGCUUGUCAAUUGGUGUGAAACAACGUACCGCUGUACUCAAAAAACUUAAUCGUAGCGAAUUAAAAUUAAUUUUAUAGUAGUGUAGUUUAUGUAGAUGGCAUGUAGACCUAUUGUAAAUUGGUGUGAAACAAUUGUUGUACUCUAAAAAUUUAAACUGCUAGAGAAUGAUAUUUAUAUAUUUUUAUAUUUAAAACUUCUCCUCAUGUCGGGACUCGAGACUUUUUUAGUCGGUCCAUGACGUGGGCUUGAAUUAAAUGAGAGGAAAUUAAUACGUUAAGAGUCUAACGUAAUUCAAAUUCAGAACCUCCUACUCUGAUAUCAUAUGAAACAACAGUUGAACUUUAAAAACUUAAGUUGUUAGAGAACGAUAUUUAAAUAUUUUUUAUAUUUAACAAUUGGGUUGUUAAUGAGCUGGG